rnacentral:rRNA from 1 species
CCACAACCUUCCCCUGUCCCGAGCGUGGGCCGUGCGGCCCUGCGCAUCUCUUUCUUCCCUGCCUUCUUCCUCUCCAUUCCGCUGGUUUUCCCCUCUCUCACGCAACUUCUCUCUCCCUCUAUUUCCCCGCAGGAGCUUCGUCGCGCCGUUCAGCUCUUCCACCGGCGGAUCUAGUGUUGUGCUGCCCCACCUUGCGAAUCCGGCCAUCUCCGUCGUCCUCCGUGCCGGAUCCCGCUGCCGGCGCCCCAAGUUCCACCGCGGCUGCCGUUCUCCUGCCAUGGAGCCUCGGCCUCCUCGGCUUCCGGCGACGCCCAAGGCCCCGUCCUCGCCACCUCCAGCAGGCCGUCCCGCUCCCCUGCCUCCUCUCGCGCCUCCUCCUCCCUGUUCCUUUUCCUCUAUCUCUCUCUCAUGCCUCUGCCUCUCUCUCACAGGGAACCACAUCGAGGCCAGGGAGAAAUUGCAGCACCACCGCCCUUGGGGUUCGUCGCUGACGGCCAUCCCCGUCGUCCCGGCCUCUUCCCCGCCGUCCUGGCCUCCUCCGUGCGCCAAGUCCCAUCCAGCCGCCCUGCCUCGACCCCGCGUUGACCAGCUGCGGUGCCGUGGCCUCGCCUCUGCUUUGAGCAGGCGAAGGAGGCGCGUCAGCCUCGAUCCUCUGCCUCCUCUGCUUCGUGGUCGCGUUGACCGCAUCGGCCAGAUGCGUGCAGCCCAGCUUCACGGCCUGCUACCACCACCGUCUGUGCCUUGGCCCAUGUUGCGCUUCUUCUUGAUAGUUCCGGAAAUGUUGUGAUUGUGAGGAUUCAUUCGACUGCAUUGGUUCGCCUACUUCUUGGACCCGAUCUUCUUCCUAGCGACAUUUCAGGCAAGAUGACCAUAAUCUUGGAUCUCACUACUAUCUUUGCUAUGCUAGUUGUCUCGAUGUUAUCGCUAUGUCGUGCUACCUAUCACUUGUUUAUCAAGCCUCCCAAUUUGCCAUCUUAGCCUCUAACCUUUUUCACCAUUCCAACAAACCGUUGUGUGGCUAUGUUACUGCUUUGCUCAGCCCCUUUUAUAGCAUUGCUAGUUGUAGGUACAGUUGCAGGUUGUUCCAUGUUGGGACAUGGAUAUCAUGGGAUAUCAUAAUAUCUUUUAUUUAAUUAAUGCAUCUAUAUACUUGGUAAAGGAUGUAAGGUUCGACCUUUUGGCUGGGGUUUUGUUCCACUCUUACUGCCGUAGUUUCCGU